GGGUCAAUGAUGACAACCCAAAGUCAUGAAGAGAGGUGAUGACAUAAAAUUCAUGCUCAAUAGGAUUACGCUGAGGCCC
rnacentral:snoRNA from 1 species